rnacentral:rRNA from 1 species
AGUGGCGCACGGGUGCGUAACGCGUGGGAACCUGCCCUUAGGUUCGGAAUAACUCAGAGAAAUUUGAGCUAAUACCGGAUAAUGUCUUCGGACCAAAAAUUUAUCGCCUUUGGAUGGGCCCGCGUAGGAUUAGAUAGUUGGUGGGGUAAUGGCCUACCAAGUCGACGAUCCUUAGCUGGUCUGAGAGGAUGAUCAGCCACACUGGGACUGAGACACGGCCCAGACUCCUACGGGAGGCAGCAGUGGGGAAUAUUGGACAAUGGGCGAAAGCCUGAUCCAGCAAUGCCGCGUGAGUGAUGAAGGCCUUAGGGUUGUAAAGCUCUUUUACCAGGGAUGAUAAUGACAGUACCUGGAGAAUAAGCUCCGGCUAACUCCGUGCCAGCAGCCGCGGUAAUACGGAGGGAGCUAGCGUUGUUCGGAAUUACUGGGCGUAAAGCGCACGUAGGCGGCUUUUCAAGUCAGGGGUGAAAUCCCGGGGCUCAACCCCGGAACUGCCCUUGAAACUGGAUGGCUAGAAUACUGGAGAGGUGAGUGGAAUUCCGAGUGUAGAGGUGAAAUUCGUANAUAUUC